rnacentral:rRNA from 1 species
GACAGCAGUAGCCGCGGUAAUACGGAGGGGGCUAGCGUUGUUCGGAAUUACUGGGCGUAAAGCGCACGUAGGCGGCUUGGUAAGUUAGAGGUGAAAGCCUGGAGCUCAACUCCAGAAUUGCCUUUAAGACUGCCGAGCUAGCAGGUGAGAGAGGUAAGUGGAAUUCCGAGUGUAGAGGUGAAAUUCGUAGAUAUUCGGAAGAACACCGGUGGCGAAGGCGGCGACCUGGUUCAUAACUGACGCUGAGGCGCGAAAGCGUGGGGAGCAAACAGGUUUAGAUACCCCCGUAGUCCCUGUCUCUUAUAC